GAACGCUGGCGGCGUGCCUAAUACAUGCAAGUAGAACGCUGAAGGAGGAGCUUGCUCUUCUGGAAGAGUUGCGAACGGGUGAGUAACGCGUAGGUAACCUGCCUGGUAGCGGGGGAUAACUAUUGGAAACGAUAGCUAAUACCGCAUAAGAUUGAAUAUCGCAUGAUAAUUGAUUAAAAGAUGCAAAUGCAUCACUACCAGAUGGACCUGCGUUGUAUUAGCUAGUAGGUGAGGUAACGGCUCACCUAGGCGACGAUACAUAGCCGACCUGAGAGGGUGAUCGGCCACACUGGGACUGAGACACGGCCCAGACUCCUACGGGAGGCAGCAGUAGGGAAUCUUCGGCAAUGGGGGCAACCCUGACCGAGCAACGCCGCGUGAGUGAAGAAGGUUUUCGGAUCGUAAAGCUCUGUUGUAAGAGAAGAACGAGUGUGAGAGUGGAAAGUUCACACUGUGACGGUAUCUUACCAGAAAGGGACGGCUAACUACGUGCCAGCAGCCGCGGUAAUACGUAGGUCCCGAGCGUUGUCCGGAUUUAUUGGGCGUAAAGCGAGCGCAGGCGGUUAGAUAAGUCUGAAGUUAAAGGCUGUGGCUUAACCAUAGUACGCUUUGGAAACUGUUUAACUUGAGUGCAGAAGGGGAGAGUGGAAUUCCAUGUGUAGCGGUGAAAUGCGUAGAUAUAUGGAGGAACACCGGUGGCGAAAGCGGCUCUCUGGUCUGUAACUGACGCUGAGGCUCGAAAGCGUGGGGAGCGAACAGGAUUAGAUACCCUGGUAGUCCACGCCGUAAACGAUGAGUGCUAGGUGUUAGGCCCUUUCCNGGGGCUUAGUGCCGUAGCUAACGCAUUAAGCACUCCGCCUGGGAGUACGA
rnacentral:rRNA from 1 species